GUCUGCAGCCAUACUAGCCUGCACCCACCAGACCUCAUCUGAUUUUGGAAGCUAAGCAGGGUCAGGCCUGGUUAAUCCAUGGAAGGGAGGACCACGUGGAGAGAAGGGUGCCAUGGAGA
ensembl:rRNA 5S_rRNA 5S ribosomal RNA